rnacentral:rRNA from 1 species
CUCAGAUUGAACGCUGGCGGCAGGCCUAACACAUGCAAGUCGAACGGAACCUUCGGGUUUAGUGGCGAACGGGUGAGUAAUGCCUAGGAAUCUGCCUAUUAGUGGGGGAUAACGAAUCGAAAGGUUCGCUAAUACCGCAUACGUCCUACGGGAGAAAGAGGGGGAUCUUCGGACCUCUUGCUAAUAGAUGAGCCUAGGUCGGAUUAGCUAGUUGGUGAGGUAAAGGCUCACCAAGGCGACGAUCUGUAGCUGGUCUGAGAGGAUGGCCAGCCACACUGGAACUGAGACACGGUCCAGACUCCUACGGGAGGCAGCAGUGGGGAAUAUUGGACAAUGGGCGCAAGCCUGAUCCAGCCAUGCCGCGUGUGUGAAGAAGGCCCUCGGGUUGUAAAGCACUUUAAGCGAGGAGGAAGGUCAUCAUACUAAUAUUAUGAUGAAUUGACGUUACUCGCAGAAUAAGCACCGGCUAACUCUGUGCCAGCAGCCGCGGUAAUACAGA